rnacentral:rRNA from 1 species
UGGGGGAUAUUGCACAAUGGGCGAAAGCCUGAUGCAGCGACGCCGCGUGAGGGAAGACGGUUUUCGGAUUGUAAACCUCUGUCUUCGGGGACGAUAAUGACGGUACCCGAGGAGGAAGCACCGGCUAACUACGUGCCAGCAGCCGCGGUAAUACGUAGGGUGCAAGCGUUGUCCGGAAUUACUGGGUGUAAAGGGUGCGUAGGCUGUUAUGUAAGUCAGCGGUGAAAUACCUAAGCUCAACUUAGGGGCUGCCGUUGAUACUGCAUAGCUGGAAUAUGGUUGCUGUUGGCGGAAUGUGUAGUGUAGCGGUGAAAUGCAUAGAUAUUACACAGAACACCUAUUGCGAAGGCAGCUGACAAAACCAUUAUGGGCGCUGAGGCACGAAAGUGUGGGGAUCAAACA